AUUGAACGCUGGCGGCAGGCCUAACACAUGCAAGUCGAACGAGUGGCGGACGGGUGAGUAAUGUUUGGGAAACUGGCUGAUGGAGGGGGAUAACUACGGGAAACGGUAGCUAAUACCGCAUACCAUCGGAUGUGCCCAGAUGGGAUUAGCUAGUAGGUGGGGUAAAGGCUCACCAAGGCGACGAUCCCUAGCUGGUCUGAGAGGAUGACCAGCCACACUGGAACUGAGACACGGUCCAGACUCCUACGGGAGGCAGCAGUGGGGAAUAUUGGGCAAUGGGCGAAAGCCUGAUCCAGCCAUGCCGCGUGUGUGAAGAAGGCCUUCGGAUUGUAAAGCUCUUUCGGUUGGGAGGCGUUACCAACAGAAUAAGCACCGGCUAACUCCGUGCCAGCAGCCGCGGUAAUUC
rnacentral:rRNA from 1 species